CUACGGGAUGCUGCAGUGGGGAAUAUUGCACAAUGGGCGCAAGCCUGAUGCAGCCAUGCCGCGUGUAUGAAGAAGGCCUUCGGGUUGUAAAGUACUUUCAGCGGGGAGGAAGGGAGUAAAGUUAAUACCUUUGCUCAUUGACGUUACCCGCAGAAGAAGCACCGGCUAACUCCGUGCCAGCAGCCGCGGUAAUACGGAGGGUGCAAGCGUUAAUCGGAAUUACUAGGCGUAAAGCGCACGCAGGCGGUUUGUUAAGUCAGAUGUGAAAUCCCCGGGCUCAACCUGGGAACUGCAUCUGAUACUGGCAAGCUUGAGUCUCGUAGAGGGGGGUAGAAUUCCAGGUGUAGCGGUGAUAUGCAUAGAGAUCUGGAGGAAUACCGGUGGCGAAGGCGGCCCCCUGGACGAAGACUGACGCUCAGGUGCGAAAGCGUGGGGAGCAAACAGGAUUAGAUACCCCGGUAGUC
rnacentral:rRNA from 1 species